rnacentral:misc_RNA from 1 species
UUUCCGUAGGUGAACCUGCGGAAGGAUCAUUACUGGGUCACCGAGCGCCUCGGCGCUCACCCCCACCCUUCGCUUCCCGCCCCACGAUCGGCGUCAGGCGGGCCCCCCUUCGGGGAGGCCCUCCGGCCGAAACGCAAACUCUAGCAACCCCUUGCAGCCUGAAGUAAAAAACAAAUAGUUAAAACUUUCAACAACGGAUCUCUUGGUUCUG